UCCAAAUAAAAAUAAGUACAUCCAAGGGCAGUGUUCACAUCCCUCACCACUGAGGGUUAACCAUUACAUCUAUCUAAAAUCAAGAAAACAUCUAAUUAAAGUUUGUGUAAUUCAUCCUUUCUUACACAUGCAUCACUGAGAACAUUGUCUCUCCUCACCCAAAUCAGCUCCUAGAGUUUGUUUGUUCCGUUGUUAAUCCCAUUCCUACUUCCAAACAGCAUCACUUUUACCCUCAUAGAGAACAUGGUCUCACUCACCUGGAUUUGCCUCCUAGAAUUUUAUCUUUAUAUUGUUUUUAAUCCCUAUACAGUUCGUUUCUUUUUCUCUACUCACCAAUAUUAC
rnacentral:lncRNA from 1 species